GCUGGCGUAGCUCAGCAGGUAGAGCGGCUGAUUUGUAAUCAGCGGGUCGGGGGUUCGAUUCCCUCCGCCAGCUCCA
rnacentral:tRNA from 1 species